AGGGUGACCCGCAGGCGUGGUUUGCCUGGGACUGAGGGCUUUCUGGGAUGUGGGACUUUCAG
rnacentral:miRNA from 1 species